rnacentral:miRNA from 1 species
CACCUCAUCAACAUGAAGGAAAUCCUUCUGGUUGAUGAGGUAUAGCAUCAUUGACCAGAAGGAUUUCCUUCAGGUCAAUGAGGUG